rnacentral:rRNA from 1 species
AGGGUGUAAACGCUGCGGGCUUGGUGUUGGGGGUCCUUUGAGGGCGCCCAGUGCCGGAGAGAAGUUGUUAAGCCUGCUGCUUGGGGAGUACGUCCGCAAGGAUGAAACUUAAAGGAAUUGGCGGGGGAGCACCGCAACGGGAGGAGCGUGCGGUUUAAUUGGAUUCAACACCGGAAAACUCACCAGGGGAGACUGUUACAUGAAACCCAGACUAAUGAUCUUGGUUGAUUUCCAGAGAGGUGGUGCAUGGCGUCAGUGACU